UGAGGAAUAUUGCCCAAUGGGGGAAACCCUGAGGCAGCAACGCCGCGUGGAUGAAGACGGCCUUCGGUUGUAAGUCCUUUCUGGAGGAAGAUGGUGACGGUACUCCAGGAAGAAGUUCCGGCUAACUACGUGCCAGCAGCCGCGGUAAAACGUAGGGGACGAGCGUUAUCCGGAUUUACUGGGCGUAAAGCGCUUGUAGGCGGUUUGACAAGUUGGACGUAAAAGCUCCCGGCUCAACUGGGAGAGGUCGUACAAAACUGUCAGGCUGGAGGGUGAGAGAGGAGAGCAGAAUUCCCGGUGUAGUGGUGGAAUGCGUAGAUAUCGGGAGGAAUACCAGUGGCGAAGGCGGCUCUCUGGCUCAUCACUGACGCUGAGAAGCGAAAGCGUGGGGAGCGAACGGGAUUAGAUACCCCGGUAGUCCACGCUGUAAACGAUGGAUACUAGGUGUAGGGGGUAAUCGAACUCCCUCUGUGCCGGAGCCAACGCGAUAAGUAUCCCGCCUGGGGAGUACGGCCGACG
rnacentral:rRNA from 1 species